AUUUUUCUUAUUUUAUAGACUAACAAAUUUUCAACAAUGUGAAUGAUUUAGAUAACAUUAUCAGAAAAAAAUGCUCAAAUAUUGUAUAAAAUUUUCUUUUAAUUAAUUAAAUAUUAUGUUGUCUAUUUAAUAUUAUUGUUAUUUAAAUCAUUUACAUUGUUGAAAAUUUCUUAAUCUAUAAAAUAAUAUAUCUUAUUUUGUCUGAUCAUUCUAAAGAAUUUAAUAACGUGGAUUAUCAAUAUCCAUCGUGCCAGUCAACGUGUUGAUCAUCUUUUUCUAAUUUACUUUAUAUGGGAUCAUACGACAAAAGAUGAUGAUUCACAAACGAAUCUUCCUUCUUUGUUUCUCAAGUAUUAUUUCUUGUAAUUAAGGAUAAGUAGUUCAUUUGUAACGAGCUUAUCACGAAUAACUUGACACAUUUAUCAUCUGUGUUGAAAAGCACGUUAAACUCGUGAGGUUGCGCUAUUGUUCGGUAGAGUGCGUGUUUAAAGACAAACACGUAGGAAGCGUGCUCGUUAGUUUACAUUGUGCAAAAAUCGUAGUUCUUGAGAAAAUGUAAAUCGUUAUGAUUGAAUGUAAUAUGUUAUCGUAAAAAUAUGGAAAGUUGGGACAAUCGUUGAUGUCGGGUGUAACGUAAAUAUGUUUACUUCGAUCAAAUUUUUUAAUAAAUGUGGUUAAUUCGUAACUCUAACCUUACAAUGCGGAGACUUGUCAAUCUUGCGAUGCUUCUUUGUUACUUGAGCAGAAGCGUCGCAGCUAUGUAUUGUUAUCCAGACUACUGUCAGAACGUGACAAAAUUAGUCGCUACUCCUGGUUUCCAAUGUCUAUUGACAAAAGUUCAAAGGAAAGGAGAUUGCACCAAACUCACGUUCGAAGGUUAUAGUCGUUAUCCAGAGGAUGGCACAGCAGCCAAAUUUAAUUUACGUUCAUACACGUAUGAGGAAUCUGGAUAUAAACUGACAGCUUUCAACUUAAGCGUUACCAAUGUGGACUUUCAUGGACUGGUUACACGUUAUCAAAGUUUACUGGAUGAGAACGAAUCAGCAUGUAGGUACAUAGAACUUUAUGGGAACGAAACCAAUCCAGUACCACGGGAAUUGUAUAUUUCUUGUCCAUUUUCUGAUGUAUCUUACGAAUCUGUUCCAUACCGGUUAGAUUAUCUCGUAACAGGAGAAAAGUAUAAGUAUAGCAAAAGAUAUGUUUUCAAUGUACCUGUCCACAGAUUUAUCGGAGAAGAUGUAAGUAUAAAGGAAUACAGGCCAUUUGUAUAUAUAGAUGUCUCCUAUGCUCCUCUUCUUUCAUUGCACGUGCAACCACUGCCAGAAGUGUAUAAUGUAACAGGGUAUAAAAUUUGGUUGAUAAACAACGAUACGGAUUUCGUGAAAACGUUCAAUAUGACCAGUGAACAAGAUUUUCGCUACAAUUUUACCGCUCACACCGGCGUGUUUUAUUUUAAAGUUGCUCCCAUGCAUUCAGAGUGUGGCGACUAUGGAUGCGUGAACAGCACUACGCCUUUUAUCAUUAUACAGGAGACAUCUCAUCGUUUAUUGAUCAUGAUUAUUAGCACUGUGUGGAUACCGCCAGUGAUAUUGUACGUCCUUUAUCAUCUUUACAAAUUGUAUAAAAAGGAAGUAUUGAAAAGGAGAAGGAUACCGAAAUGUUUGUUAGUCUACUCACCGACUCGACUGUCGCAUAUCAAUGUAAUGAUCGAGCUGGCAAAGUAUUUAAGAAUUUGCGAUGUUAACGCCAUGAUAGACAUGCUCGAUGUUACCGAUACCACGGACAAAGAUCCAGAAUGUUGGUGCGAUGCUGCGUUUCGAAACGCAGACGUCGUUCUUAUCGCAACUUCUCCGCCGCCUAAGAAGCCUGCGGCAUCGGCUAUUUAUCGAAACACCGGUAAUUAUCUUUUGAGACUGGUGAAAGAGAAUCAGUCGGAGAAAGAAAAGCGCUAUUAUAUCGUGCAAUUGCCGUAUUGUAAAUCGGAUGAUGUACCCGAGGAAACGAGGCAUUUGAGGAGACUGUCUUUACCAAAAGAGUUGCCUAAACUAGUAAAAAUUAUUCACAAGGUGGAGCGCGUAAAAUGUUCCUCGGUAUCCGACCAGGAAUUUCUGGACAGCGUGAAAUUAGCAAAACUCGAGAUUCUGAAGGAAGAUGCGAACAUUGCGAAAGACGAACGAGAAACUGAAAACCUUUUAACGUUGAAAAGGACGGAAACAGCAAAUAAUCGGACAUCAACUGUGCUGGAUGAUAACGCAGUGUCUCAGUCGUUUGCAACAAAUAUCGAUGAACUAAACUUGCUCGGGGAAGGUGGAGAAGGUGAGGAAGAAUGUACUCGUGAAUCUUCGAAGGACGAUACGUGCUCGUUUCGUAUCGACGAAUUGAACUUGUGACUUCGUCUCAAGUACAUUCUUUAUUCAUAACGUUGUGAACAAAUUUUACUUGCGUAAGUUAGCUCCUCGUGUCCAUUUAUUGUGAGUUACGUCUUACAAUUCUCCAUUCGUUAAGUCACAGGUAUAUUAAAUAUAUAUCUUUUUACGCAUGCAUACAUUGCACACGCGUGUAUACGUUUUAACACGAUAUUAACGAUGGUAUAAUGAUAAUAGUUGGAAUUCACAUGGCACGUGCCUGAUCGUGCUAAGAACUAGUCGAUCCAUUGGAAGUAAGCAAAUAUACAGUGUUAUAUAACUAAAUUUGUACUUGAACGCUUGCGUCAUAAACGGCAAGUGGCUAAUUAAUAUAACGAAAUGGAAUGCGCUGCUUUGUACAAGUAAACCAAAAAGGGGUGAAUUCAUUCACCGAGGUAUAAAAAAGCAGUCUUGUUCGAAUACGAUUACAUCGACCAACAACUAGGAUACUCAAGUUUACCGCCUCUUUGAGUGUAUCGUCGAAUCACCGUUUCGUGCAAUUAUUUAACAGACGGUUCACCAUAAAGUGAAUGUUAAAAGCUGGAAGCCGCUGCGAAGAAGGAUUUAACUGGAAGUUUAAAAGUUUGACAAUUUUAGUAAUUAAUAUUAAUCAUUACGAUCUUUCGCUUCUCGUUCGAUCAUUUGUUACGCGAUUGAUCGUGAAAUUAUCGGAAGGUGUUUACACAGUUAAUUAAACGUUAGUCACCCUUUAGGGACGUAGCUUUCGUCAAUGAGAAGCCAUUUAUCUAAUUUGUUCUUUUUCGUUCGUUCCAAUUCAAUCGCUUGUUAGGACAUAAAUGACGAAACGAAUAGGAAAAUUUCCAUCAGGGUGACUAAACUGCGGUUUGCUUCGGCAAUUUGAAUAGCUUGGAACAUCUUUCGUCGAAUGCUCUGUAUCGUAAAAAUCCAAGAAUAUAUAAAGCUGUAACAGGCGUCUUGAGUAGAAAGACUCGUUAAUAAUUUCUAGUAUAAAUUACACAAAGAUCUGGCUGUUUACAUGAAAAUGUAAUGUUGUAUAUCGAUUUCCAUACUAUAUACUAUCACCGUUAGUAUACCGUUCUUCAGCUCUUAUCUCCUGAAGCGUCGAUCUAUCUAUUUGGACGUAUGCUAUCCGCAUCUUUUUCUGAUUUUCUAGCGUUGCAAAGUUCAUCGUCUCGUAUUCUUAUAUGCGACACGUAUGCCCGACAGAAAGAAAAAGAAGGCACAGUAUCGAAGGUGUUUGUUGCUCUCGAUCGUUUCAACGAUCACGUUCCCGUUCGUUUCGUAAUGGCAUACUCGUCGUACGCUAGACGAUACUCCUCUCGAACGAAGAAAAGACGCGAUUUGUCUUCUCGAACCUCUAGAUCAUCGAUA